AUUGAACGCUGGCGGCAUGCUUUACACAUGCAAGUCGAACGGUAACAGGCCUUCGGGUGCUGACGAGUGGCGAACGGGUGAGUAAUGCAUCGGAACGUACCCAGAGGUGGGGGAUAACGCAGCGAAAGCUGUGCUAAUACCGCAUGUGAUCUGAGGAUGAAAGCGGGGGACCGAGCAGCAAUGUUUGGCCUCGCGCCUUUGGAGCGGCCGAUGUCGGAUUAGCUAGUUGGUGGGGUAAAGGCCUACCAAGGCGACGAUCCGUAGCUGGUCUGAGAGGACGACCAGCCACACUGGGACUGAGACACGGCCCAGACUCCUACGGGAGGCAGCAGUGGGGAAUUUUGGACAAUAGGCGCAAGCCUGAUCCAGCAAUGCCGCGUGCGGGAAGAAGGCCUUCGGGUUGUAAACCGCUUUUGGCAGGAACGAAACGGUGUCCGCUAAUACCGGGCGCUAAUGACGGUACCUGCAGAAUAAGCACCGGCUAACUACGUG
rnacentral:rRNA from 1 species